rnacentral:rRNA from 1 species
AGAACGAACGCUGGCGGCACGCCUAACACAUGCAAGUCGAGCGCCCAGCAAUGGGAGCGGCGGACGGGUGAGGAACACGUGGGAAUAUGCCUUUCGGUUCGGCACAACUGCGGGAAACUGCAGCUAAUUCCGGAUACGCCCUUACGGGGAAAGAUUUAUCGCCGAAAGAUUAGCCCGCGUCUGAUUAGCUAGUUGGUGAGGUAAUGGCUCACCAAGGCUUCGAUCAGUAGCUGGUUUGAGAGAACGACCAGCCACACUGGGACUGAGACACGGCCCAGACUCCUACGGGAGGCAGCAGUGGGGAAUCUUGGACAAUGGAGGAAACUCUGAUCCAGCGAUGCCGCGUGAGUGAUGAAGGCCUUCGGGUUGUAAAACUCUUUUACCAGGAAGAUAAUGACUGUACCUGGAGAAUAAGCUCCGGCUAACUUCGUGCCAGCAGCCGC